UUGGUGAGUAUAAACCCCUUUUCUGUGCUAGUGAUGUCUUGAUGCUGCAUGAAUAAUAUAUUUAUUGUUCAGAUGAAAUAGAUUAGACUGUGCUGUGUGUUCAGAGUGCAAUAGCACAUAGAUAUCUGAGCAUCAUGAGCAUAGUGUAGUGAACACAACAGACUGUGAUCUCUAACAGAACAUUCAUCAUGCUGGUGUCUAGUUUGUCAUUUAGUGUUGUACAGACACAGAAAUCUGACCUACACACUGAUACUGAGAGAGAAAAAGCUGAAGGUUUUUGUUUGAAUGUGAUUUGAUAACAAUAACUCUAUUAAAGUUUUUUUUUUUUUUUUUUAAUAAAACAGAAGCCUAACAAUUCAACAACUGCAAAAUUCAAAUUAUGUAAACCGUAUGCACAAAAUAGCAUGUUUGUGUUUUAAGAACAACAAAACACAUUUAAACAAAGUCUUUCAAGUGUGACGGUCUCCUGACCAUUCUGCCACUUCUAGUUGUCACGACUCUCUUGCUAGUAUCUGAAGGGUUUGUGUGUGUUGUGCUCGACUCUGGUACUGCUUUUGAAUGUCCCUUAUCGGUAAGAAUCUUCCGAUUAGUCUGAACAAAUAGAUAUCUGAGCAUCAUGAGCAUAGUGUAGUGAACACAACAGACUGUGAUCUCUAACAGAACAUUCAUCAUGCUGGUGUCUAGUUUGUCAUUUAGUGUUGUACAGACACAGAAAUCUGACCUACACACUGAUACUGAGAGAGAAAAAGCUGAACGUAUAGCAGUGAGAAGCAAAGCAACACACAAAGCUCGGUAAUAUUGGGCUGCUAGUUUGUUCUGUAGACUGUGUGCUGUGUUUGAAUGAGCGCAGUCAGAAUGAUCAGAGUUACACUGAGACAUCGGUGAUCAGACUGCUGCAGAAUCAGACAGAGUCACAGUGUGAGCUAACCGGAUAACGCUAGGAAAAAGACUAGCUCUUGUUGAAAGUGAGAGGUUUUGCUCUUUUACCUUGUGCUCAGAAACUGUGACAGUCACAAUGAUGAGUAAAGAAACUCCAAUAUUUUCUACACAAUGAAUAAACACCAUGUAUAACGAUUAAACAUAAACCUCAGUGAAAGUCUGUAGAGAUCUGAGACACAGAACAAAAAUCCACCAGCAUGACCUCAGAGUCUUUAUCCAAUAGACAGAUAAACACACAGAUAAAGUUCAAGAGCAAAGGAGCAGAUUCCAGUUUGUUAAAAAGUAGAUGAUGGACAGAUGAGACAAAGACUAAGCUGUAGCAGAGUGAUGAAAAGAGGAAAGUGUGAAGUGAAAAGAAAACUG